rnacentral:rRNA from 1 species
CAGGCUUAACACAUGCAAGUCGAGGGGCAUCAGGAAGAAAGCUUGCUUUCUUUGCUGGCGACCGGCGCACGGGUGAGUAACACGUAUCCAACCUGCCCUUUACUCGGGGAUAGCCUUUCGAAAGAAAGAUUAAUACCCGAUGGCAUAAUGAUUCCGCAUGGUUUCAUUAUUAAAGGAUUCCGGUAAAGGAUGGGGAUGCGUUCCAUUAGGUUGUUGGUGAGGUAACGGCUCACCAAGCCUUCGAUGGAUAGGGGUUCUGAGAGGAAGGUCCCCCACAUUGGAACUGAGACACGGUCCAAACUCCUACGGGAGGCAGCAGUGAGGAAUAUUGGUCAAUGGGCGCUAGCCUGAACCAGCCAAGUAGCGUGAAGGAUGAAGGCUCUAUGGGUCGUAAACUUCUUUUAUAUAAGAAUAAAGUGCAGUAUGUAUACUGUUUUGUAUGUAUUAUAUGAAUAAGGAUCGGCUAACUCCGUGCCAGCAGCCGCGGUAAUACGGAGGAUCCGAGCGUUAUCCGGAUUUAUUGGGUUUAAAGGGAGCGUAGGUGGACUGGUAAGUCAGUUGUGAAAGUUUGCGGCUCAACCGUAAAAUUGCAGUUGAUACUGUCAGUCUUGAGUACAGUAGAGGUGGGCGGAAUUCGUGGUGUAGCGGUGAAAUGCUUAGAUAUCACGAAGAACUCCGAUUGCGAAGGCAGCUCACUGGACUGCAACUGACACUGAUGCUCGAAAGUGUGGGUAUCAAACAGGAUUAGAUACCCUGGUAGUCCACACAGUAAACGAUGAAUACUCGCUGUUUGCGAUAUACAGUAAGCGGCCAAGCGAAAGCAUUAAGUAUUCCACCUGGGGAGUACGCCGGCAACGGUGAAACUCAAAGGAAUUGACGGGGGCCCGCACAAGCGGAGGAACAUGUGGUUUAAUUCGAUGAUACGCGAGGAACCUUACCCGGGCUUAAAUUGCAGUGGAAUGAUGUGGAAACAUGUCAGUGAGCAAUCACCGCUGUGAAGGUGCUGCAUGGUUGUCGUCAGCUCGUGCCGUGAGGUGUCGGCUUAAGUGCCAUAACGAGCGCAACCCUUAUCUUUAGUUACUAACAGGUCAUGCUGAGGACUCUAGAGAGACUGCCGUCGUAAGAUGUGAGGAAGGUGGGGAUGACGUCAAAUCAGCACGGCCCUUACGUCCGGGGCUACACACGUGUUACAAUGGGGGGUACAGAAGGCAGCUAGCGGGUGACCGUAUGCUAAUCCCAAAAUCCUCUCUCAGUUCGGAUCGAAGUCUGCAACCCGACUUCGUGAAGCUGGAUUCGCUAGUAAUCGCGCAUCAGCCACGGCGCGGUGAAUACGUUCCCGGGCCUUGUACACACCGCCCGUCAAGCCAUGGGAGCCGGGGGUACCUGAAGUACGUAACCGCAAGGAUCGUCCUAGGGUAAAACUGGUGACUGGGGCUAAGU